GAUGAACGCUGGCGGCGUGCCUAAUACAUGCAAGUCGAGCGAACAGACGAGGAGCUUGCUCCUCUGACGUUAGCGGCGGACGGGUGAGUAACACGUGGAUAACCUACCUAUAAGACUGGGAUAACUUCGGGAAACCGGAGCUAAUACCGGAUAAUAUAUUGAACCGCAUGGUUCAAUAGUGAAAGACGGUUUUGCUGUCACUUAUAGAUGGAUCCGCGCCGCAUUAGCUAGUUGGUAAGGUAACGGCCUACCAAGGCAACGAUGCGUAGCCGACCUGAGAGGGUGAUCGGCCACACUGGGACUGAGACACGGUCCAGACUCCUACGGGAGGCAGCAGUAGGGAAUCUUCCGCAAUGGGCGAAAGCCUGACGGAGCAACGCCGCGUGAGUGAUGAAGGUCUUCGGAUCGUAAAACUCUGUUAUUAGGGAAGAACAAAUGUGUAAGUAACUAUGCACGUCUUGACGGUACCUAAUCAGAAAGCCACGGCUAACUACGUG
rnacentral:rRNA from 1 species